AAAAAAGCAGGGUCUUGUUGCCUUGUGAACUGGGCUCUUGUAAACUUCAGGGAAAUUAAUUUUUCCCCAUUGUUAUUGGGUGAACCUCUGUUGUUUAUGGUAACUGAAGGUUCAGUAAAUGAUGGGACAAUU
rfam:Ricinus communis ctg_1100012358557, whole genome shotgun sequence.